UGGGCUGAAAGAUUUUGGGAGUUUUGGAGUUUUGGAAAGUAAUUGAGUACAUCCAGCCCAGCAGACACAAUUUUGAGUUUCAACAGGCCUGGUGAGAAGCAGAGCACAGCGGCAGCCUGAGACGCUUCACUGCUCUUUUAAAGAGGAAACCUGUGCAGACUUAUAUCAUGGUUCAAUCUCAGUGUUUCCUCACACGGGAUGGAUGCUCACAGUUCCCGACAAAGAUUCCUCAACACCAGUCAGACCUCCAACGAAGAUCAACUACUCACUCAGGCGGUACAAUCAGCAGCCGCCAUCACAAAAAACCUUCACGGCAGCACAAAGCCGAGCUGAUGCGUCGGCCUGCCAGCAGUGCCUGGGUGGCAGCAGUGAACCCUCCAAUCAGAGUGUGCGAAGUUAAAGCUGGCAGUCUGCAGGCUGUGCAGCAACAUGGACGACAGUCGGAACAGUUCAGAUGGUAUUUGUGAUUUGUCAAUUCAGCGGAAACCUGUUCCGUCUGUCUGUCAACAGCCCGAACGCAAGCAGCCACUCACCAGAGAUGUUAUCAGACGGCGGCAGGAGGACAUCGAGGUGAGAUCUGUGGGAACCAUCACUGAUCUGGACCAUGAGCCAGUUGUGUUUAGAAUCUCAGGGCAGCUGAGUCCACUGCCGUUAUCAGACGGACAUCUUGUGUCGGCACCUCAAGAAGGAAAUCUUUCUGCGUCUUUUAAUUUCACAAGGUUAGCUGUGCCCUGAGGCUGCUCGCCGGAGAAACACUGUGGUUAUCUGUGGUUUUGCAGAAAAGUACUUAGUCAGCAUUCAUUCUGGUGAUUAGGUUUGAUUUAUCCAUAAAGCAGAAGCAUCUCUGUAUAAUUCAAUACGGUUGAAUUGACACCUCUCUUAAACAGUUUCAACAGCGGAAGUUUGCUACGAGCUAGCCUUUCUCUGAUGGUUCACAAUCAUCAGUCGAUCUUUACUGAGUUUGCGGGCCUUCACUUCUACUUUGUAAGUCAAUAUGGCCCAACCCUGGAUUAGACUGUAUACAUUUCAGCUAGGUGUACCUAAUAAACUGGCUUUGAUAAUCAGUUCAUGAGUUCAUAUUAACAGAACAUCUUCCAGACAAAUCCGA